CCUACGGGAGGCAGCAGUGAGGAAUAUUGGUCAAUGGGCGCGAGCCUGAACCAGCCAAGUAGCGUGAAGGAUGACUGCCCUACGGGUUGUAAACUUCUUUUAUAAAGGAAUAAAGUGAGGCACGUGUGCCUUUUUGUAUGUAUUUUAUGAAUAAGGAUCGGCUAACUCCGUGCCAGCAGCCGCGGUAAUACGGGGGAUCCGAGCGUUAUCCGGAUUUCUUGGGUUUAAAGGGAGCGUAGAUGGGUUGGUAAGUCAGUUGUGAAAGUUUGCGGCUCAACCGUAAAAUUGCAGUUGAUACUGGCAGCCUUGAGUACAGUUGAGGUAUGCGGAAUUCGUGGUGUAGCGGUGAAAUGCUUAGAUAUCACGAAGAACUCCGAUUGCGAAGGCGGCCUGCUGGACUGCGACUGACGUUGAGGCUCGAAAGCGUGGGGAGCGAACAGGAUUAGAUACCCUGGUAGUC
rnacentral:rRNA from 1 species